AAAAUGUGCAUGGGGAGAAAUCUGAGAGGAUUUCUCAAAUAUCCUCUCAACGUAAUUAUUCUACUGCGGAAGAGUUGGCUUCUGGAACGGCUCAAGUUAAAACAAUCGGAAACUUGGUUGAGUGUCUUCAGGAAGGGAGCUUCUGGAUUGUUGCCACUAUAGUUUAUAUAGAACUUAAGAACGGUUGGUCGUAUCUGAGCUGCAUAAAAUGCGCCAAGAAGGUUUACAAAGUGGGAAGUAAAUUUAACUGCCCGAAGUGUAAAAGCAACGAAAAUUAAUAGUGGCUCUGUUUCUUUGUUAAUUUGGGAUCGCGAUGCGACAAAGCUCAUCGGUAAGACUGCUAAUGAAUUAAGAGCGGGAUUACUUGAGAAGUCUGGCGCUGCUGAUGCAUUUUCAUAUCCAUCGGAAAUGGAUAACAUUCUGGAUAGAAGGGUCAUAUUUAAAGUGGCUGUAAAGAGCGACAACAUAGAGAACCACGAUGAAGUUUAUGAUGUUAUUAAAUUCAGUGAAGAUGAGGAUCUCAUUAAGCAGUAUGGUUCUUCUCCAAGCGAAGAUGCAUUCUCUGAUCCGGAUUUCAACCAUGAAAAAGACUCAUCUGUAAAUAAUGAGCUCACGGUGAUAUGGACACUCACUUUUACAUCCUUUUAAAGAUUAUUUGAAAAAACUCAUAAAGAAACUUAUUUUUUUCUCGACCUUCAUAU